CAGCAGCCACGGUAAUGCGUAGGUGGCAAGCGUUGUCCGGAAUUAUUGGGCGUAAAGGGCUCGCAGGCGGUUUCUUAAGUCUGAUGUGAAAGCCCCCGGCUCAACCGGGGAGGGUCAUUGGAAACUGGGAAACUUGAGUGCAGAAGAGGAGAGUGGAAUUCCACGUGUAGCGGUGAAAUGCGUAGAGAUGUGGAGGAACACCAGCGGCGAAGGCGGCUCUCUGGUCUGUAACUGACGCUGAGGAGCGAAAGCGUGGGGAGCGAACAGGAUUAGAGACCCCCGUAGUCCCUGUCUCUUAUAC
rnacentral:rRNA from 1 species